UACGAAGGGGGCUAGCGUUGCUCGGAAUCACUGGGCGUAAAGGGUGCGUAGGCGGGUCUUUAAGUCAGGGGUGAAAUCCUGGAGCUCAACUCCAGAACUGCCUUCGAUACUGGAGAGCUUGAGUCCGGGAGGAGGUGAGUGGAACUGCGAGUGUAGAGGUGAAAUUCGUAGAUAUUCGCAAGAACACCAGUGGCGAAGGCGGCUCACUGGCCCGGGUGACUGACGCC
rnacentral:rRNA from 1 species